UACGUAGGUGGCAAGCGUUGUCCGGAUUUAUUGGGGUUAAAGGGUGCGUAGGCGGCUUUGUAAGUCAGUGGUGAAAUAUGGCAGCUUAACUGUCAAGGUGCCAUUGAUACUGCGGAGCUUGAGUACAGAUGAGGUAGGCGGAAUUGACGGUGUAGCGGUGAAAUGCUUAGAUAUCGUCAAGAACACCGAUAGCGAAGGCAGCUUACUGGGCUGUAACUGACGCUGAGGCACGAAAGUGUGGGGAUCAAACAGG
rnacentral:rRNA from 1 species